GGGCUGAGGCACAGAAUUUUGCCACUUUGGUUGUGAUUCCAGAUGGGGGUUUAAUUUGCAAAUGGGUGGGUUGUUGAGACAUGGCAAACGCGUAAUUGGCAACAGGGGGCGUUGUGAAAAAAGAAACUUACUGGAUCAUUUCUCUCCCCAGAAAAGGUGUCGGAUGUCAAUCAGCCAAAAGGCCUGGUUAAAGGGGAACGUUUCUGCUGGGCACCUAAAGGUGUAUAAUGAAGCCACCAGGAGAGCCUCCCUGGAGAGAGCAUUCCACAAAUGAGGAGCCACUGCAGAAAAGGCCCCGUUCUCGUGUUGCCACCCCGCCCAGACCUCUUGUGGAGGAGGCAUGCAAAAAAGGGCCCCAGCAGAUGAUCUCAGAAUCCAGGGAAAGACGAUUCACAUUCCAUACUGGGUGACACAACUCACACCUUGAAUACGGAGAUGGUAGGAGGGUUAGCCAAGAGCUGGAGCCCUAGGCGAAUGCCUGCCUGAAAAACUCCAUCCCUAACAUUUUUAAGGAGAGGUGGCUGCUUUAGUUGAGAUUCCUGCACUGCAUGGGGUUGGACUAGAUGACCCUCGGGUCCCUUCCAA